rnacentral:rRNA from 1 species
CCACAUUUAAACUUUGGGGGGGGCCGGGGGCAAUACGGGCCAGACCUGGAGUUCUCCCAGGGGGGGCCCGAAUUCCCUGGGGGUACGGGUGGAAUGCCGCGAAUUCCGGGGGAACCCCCGUGGGGAAAGGGGGGUUUUGGGCCAGUAACCUGCCGUUGGAGAGGGAAAAGCCUGGGGGAGCGAACAAGGAUUAGAUACCCUGGUAGUCCCCCCCGUAAACGGGUGGGUACUAGUGUGGGUUUCCUUCCUUGGGAUCCGUCCCGUAGCUAACGCAUUAAGUACCCCGCCUGGGGAGUACGGCCGCAAGGCUAAAACUCAAAGGAAUUGACGGGGGCCCGCACAAGCGGCGGAGCAUGUGGAUUAAUUCGAUGCAACGCGAAGAACCUUACCUGGGUUUGACAUGCACAGGACGUGCCUAGAGAUAGGUAUUCCCUUGUGGUCUGUGUGCAGGUGGUGCAUGGCUGUCGUCAGCUCGUGUCGUGAGAUGUUGGGUUAAGUCCCGCGACGAGCGCAACCCUUGUCUCAUGUUGCCAGCGCGUUAUGGCGGGGACUCGUGAGAGACUGCCGGGGUCAACUCGGAGGAAGGUGGGGAUGACGUCAAGUCAUCAUGCCCCUUAUGUCCAGGGCUUCACACAUGCUACAAUGGCCGGUACAAAGGGCUGCGAUGCCGUGAGGUGGAGCGAAUCCUUUCAAAGCCGGUCUCAGUUCGGAUCGGGGUCUGCAACUCGACCCCGUGAAGUCGGAGUCGCUAGUAAUCGCAGAUCAGCAACGCUGCGGUGAAUACGUUCCCGGGCCUUGUACACACCGCCCGUCACGUCAUGAAAGUCGGUAACACCCGAAGCCGGUGGCCUAACCCCUUGUGGGAGGGAGCCGUCGAAGGUGGGAUCGGCGAUUGGGACGAAGUCGUAACAGGGUAGCCGUACCGGAAGGUGCGGCUG